CCUAACCUCCUCCCGAGGAGGGUUUAUUGUAGGUUUUCUCAGAGUCAUGUACCCCUGCUGUUUCUGAAAAUACAUUAGAAAGAGCUCACAUACACACACAGGCUAACAGCUGACAGCUAAUGAGCUCGACCAUCAUCACCAUGUCUUAGAAUGUCAAGAAGAGGUCGUGUAGCUGCACCGGCUCUACAUUUCAGCGUUUUGCAACUUGAGGAUUAGAGCGGACUAGUAGGAAAGUUGAAA